rnacentral:rRNA from 1 species
GUACACUCCUACGGGAGGCAGCAGUGGGGAAUUUUGGACAAUGGGCGAAAGCCUGAUCCAGCAAUGCCGCGUGAGUGAAGAAGGCCUUCGGGUUGUAAAGCUCUUUUGUCAGGGAAGAAACGGUGAGAGCUAAUAUCUUUUGCUAAUGACGGUACCUGAAGAAUAAGCACCGGCUAACUACGUGCCAGCAGCCGCGGUAAUACGUAGGGUGCAAGCGUUAAUCGGAAUUACUGGGCGGAAAGCGUGCGCAGGCGGUUUUGUAAGUCUGAUGUGAAAUCCCCGGGCUCAACCUGGGAAUUGCAUUGGAGACUGCAAGGCUAGAAUCUGGCAGAGGGGGGUAGAAUUCCACGUGUAGCAGUGAAAUGCGUAGAUAUGUGGAGGAACACCGAUGGCGAAGGCAGCCCCCUGGGUCAAGAUUGACGCUCAUGCACGAAAGCGUGGGGAGCAAGCAGGAUUAGAAACCCGAGUAGUCCCAUGAU